rnacentral:rRNA from 1 species
GCGGAGGAAAAGAAACCAACAGGGAUUGCCUCAGUAACGGCGAGUGAAGCGGCAAAAGCUCAAAUUUUAAAGCUGGCACCUCCGGUGUCCGCGUUGUAAUUUUGUGAGGCAUCUCCGGGUAGGGCGCCGGCCUAAGUUCCUUGGAACAGGACGUCAUAGAGGGUGAGAAUCCCGUGCUUGGCUGGCUGUCCCCGUCCAUGUGAGGUGUCUUCGACGAGUCGAGUUGUUUGGGAAUGCAGCUCAAAAUGGGUGGUAAAUUUCAUCUAAAGCUAAAUAUUGGUGGGAGACCGAUAGCGCACAAGUAGAGUGAUCGAAAGAUGAAAAGCACUUUGAAAAUAGAGUUAAAAAGUACGUGAAAUUGUUGAAAGGGAAGCGCUUGAGACCAGACUUCGGUGGGGAGUGAUCAGCUGUCCUUCUGGGCGGUGCACUUGCUCCCCUCCGGGCCAGCAUCGGUUGGGACGGCGGGAUAAAGGUCCUGGGAAUGUGGCUCCUUUCGGGGAGUGUUAUAGCCCGGGUGAAUGCCGCCAGCUCCGACCGAGGACCGCGCCUUCGGGCUAGGAUGCUUGGCAUAAUGGUCUUCAGCGACCCGUCU